UCCUUUGACUCUGGGGCUCCAGAAGCUGCUAGAAACACCCUGAAUAGUCAGAAAACUCAUCUUGAUAUAGGAGACUGUUGAACAGAUCUGUACCUCAGUUUAGGGGACUGAGUAAUUAUUACUGCGGAGGAGUACUUUUGUGUGUGCGACUCAAGUGUCUCUGACUUCAACCUGAAGGAAUCGGACCCCUGAUCCUAAGGGGACAAAGACAAGAGUGGGAGAAAUGCAUUUUCAUAAAUGAAGGAGAAGUGGAGUCCAUAAUUAGCUCAGCUGUUCCGAAACUGCCUAUGACUUCAUGGACAGAGGAGCAUAGCCCUGCCUAAUCUGACUGCUACUGAAAGCUAGGAUGGUUACACAUCAAUGAGUAAAUGCAAUUCUG
rnacentral:lncRNA from 1 species